GGGAAGUGCAUGCAGCUCGUGCUCUGCUGACCUGUGUCUCGGUGACCCAAGGUUUCCAGCUUGCACAAGAAAUGCCUGGGGCUUGAUUGCAAAAGGCAUUUCAUUUCUAACAGGCAGGUGAAUUUGGUGUUUAACCUCCAGUGAGAUCUAACUAGCCAGCCUAAAUACUUUUACAGCCCUCGCUUGGUGCCUAUCUAUAUCUUUAGGUAGAGAGAUACGGGGGGAAAUGUGGCUUUUAAUAGCUUGUGAGUCAGAGUGAGGCAUGUCUGCACUGAGGGCGAGCAGCUGAACUGUUGCAGGGUGUGGACAGACCCAGGGACUGCUGAAGGCUCCCACGCCAUGAACCAUCCAGCCAGGACCUGGCAGGGCUCAGCCUGGGCUAAUCUGCUCUCCAGGAACACUGGAAGAAGACUGCAAGGAGUAGUCGUAUCACAGCUGCAGUUGUGGUUAUUAUUCAUCAUCUUGCUACAUACAGCACUCAGCUUGUGCUGAGCAGGGAGAGCUGUGAUCCCCGUUAUUAUCAAUACCCAGUGCUGUACCAGUGCCUCAGCAAAGGUGGGGUGCAGCCUGGUCCUGACACUUCUUUGCAACUGCCUCCGGAGCCAGUCCCGCUUUGUACUGCUGUGCGUCCUUAGAAAAUAGGCUGCCAGGUGCUGAACACCCACAGUUUGGAGUGAUCACUCAUGGAUGUAUGUCUCUGAUGGUCUCAGAGAGUGUGGGCUGAACUCCAUCCUCUUUCAUCUGGGUCCUGGAGGCAUUCUCAGUCCUGCUCCCUCCACCUCUGCACCUGAUGUCCUUGCCAAGCACAUUGGGAAGAAGCUCCAUCCUGGAGCACAACAGCAUACACCCCGAAGCAACACGUGUUGCCACGCAGUGGGGCACAUCACACUACGAAGAGGUGCUGCUCUGCAUCCCCAGCCUCCUGCAGCCCUCGGGGUCAUCCUGGGAAGCAGAAGGGACCCAGGUUGCUGCCUCUGCUCAUCCCCGGGGUCGUAUCUCCUACCUCUGUGAUCUCCCUCUGACCUUUGCUGUUACAGACAUGGAAGAUGAUCCUAUUGAUCUUAUGUGGAUUAUGAUGUUCUGCACAUUGCCCUGAAACCUGCUAAUUGUGCACGCAGCUAUUCAUAGUGUCUCAGAAUGGGAGUCAGAGAUUUCUGAUGGUGAGAGAGAUUACCUGCAGACGUGUCCAUGGAGCUGAAGGGCAUCGUUCGGGCACAAGCGGGGGCUGGUUGUGGCACUUCUGCAUUUUCCGUUAAGUGACAGUAUGAAACAUUUCAAGGUGGACAUUUUUUGUCCAGUUCAGAUGGAGCAGGCCUCCCAGAGAAGCUAUAGAUGCCCCAUCCCUGGAGAUGUUCAGGGCCAGGUUGGAUGGGGCCCUGGGCAGCAUGAGCUUGUAGGGGCAACCGGCCCAUGGCAGGGGAGUUGGGACUGAAUGGACUUUGAGGUCCCUUCCAACCCAAACCAUGCUAUGAUUCUAUGGAUCUAUUAUUCUAUGACUCUUUGAGCAGUGGAGUUCAAUGGGGAGAUAACUGAUUGGAGUCAGUGUGCAUACUGCAGUCCUGGUCAAAUUGGUUAUAAAGUGUUAGUACAACUUGACUGACAAUCUCUGCUAGCUCCUAUCUGCUUUUUUUUUUAAAUGUAGGCACUAAACCAACAAGCUAAAGGCUCAUCUUUUGCUGAACAAUGCAUUUGUUCUGCUACACUUGCUCCUUGUAUGUUCAGUGUAAGCUCUGUGUGCAUCCUUUCCCUUCCCAGUGAAAGGAACUCGGUGUUAGUUGUAUUCAGCAACUGAAAGCUGGAGUAAAGAGCAAUCUUACCUUUUUUUAUUAUUAUUAUUAUUAUUUUUAUUAUUAUUUUUUGAGCUAUUGCUACACAAAUUCUGCCUCUUUUCUCUGUGGCCCCGGAUGCCUCCGAGUUAUUCGUUCUUUUCCUGGUUCCUUUACCGACUUUUCUCUUGAUGAAAGGAGAAUCACUGGACUGAUUUAGGCCAUCCUUGAACCCUGCAGUGCCAAUAAACAUGGCUGCAGCUGCAUCAAUCCAUUGUCCUGAGCCCAAACUGCUGCUGCAGCUGUAGUGCCUUGCAGAAUAAGAUAUUGCCUCAUCACAGAUGCAGCCCACUGACUCCCUCAGUGAAAAGAGGGAUGUAUUUUUUCCAUGCUUUGGGUUAAGUGUUCGCUUGCAACAGCCGGGAGCACUCAUUCAGAAUAUUUUAAGAGCAUCUUUCAUGCUGUCUGAAACACCUGACGGUUCACAAUUACUCCCUAAAGUGGGAGUAAUUGACUGCAAGAUUAUUCUGUACCUCCUGAAAGAAAAGCAAAAUGGCUGUGAAUGUGACAGGGACUCACAUCUACUCCGUGAUGUUCAUUGAGUCUUUUGGUGUAAGUAGCCCAUCCCAUGCAGGCGGCACAAGGCAGUGCUUCAGCACUGGAAUCAUGAGCUGGAAGAAAAGAAUCAAGGUCUUUGGAGACUGGAAGCCUUGGAAAUCUGUAAGAGCACGGCAUUUGCCUUCAGGCAGUGACUCCUGGAGAUGGAUCUUGACAGGGAAAAGCUCCUGUGAGAGUACGAGAGGAGUUCCCAUGAACUGCAAAGGCUGGCAGGUCCUGCCUGAUGGAUGCAGUGGUUGUAGGCUGCACCCACUCUAUGAUGCGAGACCUUAUGGAUGGUAUGCAGUCAUCUGGGAUCUUUCUAGUUCCUGGAAGAUAGAUUCCAGAGCCCCAGCAGUAUGUUAGACCAUGUCUCUAUCUUCAGGAUAUUCAGACCAGCUUCUGAUAUACCUAGAAGCUAUUUUACAAGACUGCUUUUUUUUCCCAGUCAGCUGCCUCUUGCCCCUAAAUCAUCUCUGAGAGUGACGUUCAAUCAGCCAAGGCUCAUAAAGGAUUACAAAACCUUGCUGAAAGACAGAACUCCUUGUAAAAUCAAGAAGGUGUGUAAAAAGAAAAUAGGUGAAUGUAGUGAGAAAAUCAAAAGAGGGGUGUCUCAGCCGAGAGGAAAAAAUCUUGUUUGUAGAAGUGUAUGCUUAACAUAGAAGGAGAGGCAUUCAUUGAUGAGGGUGGACAAAGAGAGAAGAGGGGAUACUUGAUGCUCAGAGAAGGUAAAUCACAAGCUGAUCAGCUAAAUGCUUUCUUCACCCAAUAUGCCAUUAGCCUGAGCAACCCAAAGCCAAGUGUCACUGAGGGUAGAAGUGAUGCUGAAAUCCAAAGUUGGCUUUGAAGAAUCUAUGGCAGUGGAUAAUCCCCAUGUUUUUAAGCAAAUGUACAAAAAACUCGCUAGUUUUUGAAAGGAAUCUGAGUUGUGAUUUAACCUCUGGUUUGGUGCAGAUUACCUAGUAGCUGUCUCAGGCAGGGCUUCCUUGGGUGCAUCUUACAAAUAAGAUGGUGCUGCUCAGAGAGAGCAGAGGCACUCAGUCCUGUGGAGCACCGCCCUUAUUUAGACUGACAAUGUCUUUGCUUCUCUUAGCUAGGCCACAGAUGGUUAUGCAUGCAGUCAAACAAGAUGACGUGCAGCAGGAUUGCAGGCAGCAUCAUGACUCUUCAUGUGAUGUCGUGUGCAUGCUUUGACCAUUUGAUUCACAAGACCACGCAUUGCUAAAUAAACUCAUUUUACAGCAAAAUACGAGAAUGAUGUAUGAGAACUGUAAAGAGUUGGUUAGCCCCCAAGGUGGUGUAAGGUAGUUUGCUGGACCUCCAUGAAGCUCUGCCAGUUUACAGCCAUCCUAUCCUACUUGUUAGAUCUGCUUCCUCUGAGCGGCAUGCCACCUGGGCUGCCUUAGAUUAACAUCUCAUUGAAGGACAACUUGAGAACAAACUUCUCUAUGAGACACCUGUUUGCCUGGCUGAUGAAAGUAUAUUUGUCAUGUAGCACUCCUUUUAUCUUAAGAUCUUUCUCUUCUUUUCAGGGUAAUGCCUUUAUUAUAUGAUUUAAAGAGAUAAAGAGUGUAAAUAAGCCAGCUGUGAUUUCUGUCACUUGGAAGGAGCUCUUACUUGGCCAUGUAGUUUAAUAAAAAUGCUUACACUGAUUUUUAUUUUUAUUUUUUUACAAAGAUAGGCCCUAAGCAGUGCUGCUGAUUAGAAUGUGUAUAGCAGCCUUCAGAUUUCCUCUGAGCUUCAAUUUCUCCUUUAAAGCAGGUCAUGAAUAAUUAAGGAAGGAGAUUACCUUAACUGGAAUGUAUGUGGCUGUUCCAUCAGUGAAGUUGGGGAUCACUCUGAGGAGCGGACAGGUUUCCCGUUGGAGGUUUAGAAACCUGAGACUGUAAAGCUCUCCUUGCUUUCCCCACCUCUUACAGGAAGCCUGCAGCAGCUUACAGAAACUUCUGCUCCUGACCAUUCCAUCCUGCUCCGGACUGGAUGCAAAAUCUUCUGGUUGGAUGUUUUCAUUUUUGUUUUUUAAUGACUUCCUCCCAGGAGCUCUACUUGCUAUUGCAUUAUUAUUUUUAUUAUUGGCUGGAAGCACGUUUGUUUUACCUUUAUUUUUAUUAAAAUCGAUUAAAGUAUUUAAUAGCCUUAUUAAAGUCCAGUAGGGCCUCCCUCUACUUGGUGUGGAGUCCAGCUGGCCGCAGCACUGAGGUGCCCCAAAGUUAAGCCCCUAGCACUGCUUUUUCUUGCCCUGCUUGGCUUAAGAGUUGCUUGCUGAAGCAGGGCCGUGGCACAUCUCAACUCUCCCAUGAAUAAUUUCACCAGAUGCCACGAGAAUUAAGGGAGCUGGGGGGAUGAAACAUCCCCAUAACUUUCCUGAGAGAUAGGUCACUAAAGUGAGGGUAUGGGAAUGCACACCCCUUGGGGCAGAGUCCAGAACCCAUCACAGUACCCCCCUCUCUGGUGGAGCCAGCAUCCCUUCCAGUGACCAAACCCAAGGAUGGACAGUGGAGACGUUGCGUGCCAACUGUCCCUUCUCAGCCACUGUGUUGGAGCUGGCACAUAUCUCGUUGAGCUAGCAACACGAUUUCCCAUUUGUGGCAGCUGGAAGAGUCAUGAAAGUCAAGGAGAAAGCUUCAGAGAAUGUUGCUUUCAACAGCUGGCGUAUCAAGAAAAAAACAUCUGAUUGCACACAGACAUAGUAGUAGGUGCUUUGUAUGUGUCUUUCUUCUUUCCUCUUAAACAUGCUUCCCAAAUUUCACCUGCAUGGGGGAACCAAGGAGGAAGGUCAUGAUGACUUGGGUCCUAAGCAGGUCUUUUGCAUCCUGGUUGCUGCUGCAUUAGGUGCCCAUGCUCCUUUGGGAAGGUGGACAUCAAUCCUUGUUGUCCACCCACCCCUUGCCAGAUUUCUUCCUGUCCUCCUAGGUUCCAGACAGGCUUUGAGUACUGCAGUGGAAAUAAGGUACAAGAACCGGUGUUGGCAGCACUGAGCCUCUUGCAUGCUCCUCUUCAAGCACUCGUAUGUCUCCACUCCAAACUCCGGAUCACCUUCUAAAUUCAUAACUGAGAUGAGCAUUCGACUCUGCAUUAAGUUGAAGCUGUCCCUUGGGUCUCAUAGGUGGUGAUAGGAACAUCGCAGUUCCUGAGUUUAUAUUCUCAUAAAUCUUGAAGAAGGUGAUUUUUUCCUUUCUUUUUUUUUCUCCCUCUCUCUCUCCCUUCUUUAAUUACCAGCCGCAGGCAUGGCUCUGACGAACAGCACUGUGCCAGGCAUGCUCUCCUUGUCUUGUCCUGAGUAUGAAUCCUGCCCUGCCAGCUGUGCACCAGCAUGGCCCUGGCAGCAGGUGUCCUUGCAGAAUUGCCGAAAACCCAUCUCUACAGAGGUUACCAAGGGCUGUUAUGCUCCACAGGGAUGGCAACACAGUGACAGCAAAUAGGACUACAGAUCAUUUGCAACUCCUCUCCUCUGUACGAGGAGGUUGGCACCAACAUGGUGAUAGCAACAUGGCAUCCAGCGAGGACCCACGACCUCCUCUCUGCUAAAUCCAUACGCCCCUUGGGAUUUUUGCUUUGGAGAGAAAAUAUUUCAGGCUGACAGUGUCCAACGUCAGCCAACCAAAGGCUCAGGUGAGGAACCACCAAGGCUGAAAGCUAUGAAUUAUUGAGUGGCACUUUGUUCGUGCUGCUCUACUCUGCACCUCAUGUGGGUGGGUGUAGAGAGAGAUACAUUUGACUGCGGGCCCAUUUAGAAUUAGUUUUCAUGGUUUUAUGUUCUUCCUUUGCAUUAAAGCGUUACAACACUCCAGCUGACCACUAAAGCCUAAAACCACCCAUAUGAAAAUAUACAUUAUAUGAAGCAAAACCAAAAGAAACGAAACCCACAACUUGGAAAAAUUAAGUACUCCGGAGCGAAACACAGUAUAAAACAAUAGGAGCUACUCUGAAUCACACCAAACCAACAGAAUCAGCAUACCAAUAUCUGGUUUGCCAGCACGUACUUAACUCAGAUAAAAAUAAACUGUUCUUGGAAUGAACUCCUGCUUUGAUUUGUAUCUCGCAGUCCAAGUACACACAAGAAGGAUGUAAAAUCUGCUAAUAUAAAUAUCGCUGGUCUCAAGCUUUUAUCAGAUGUUUUGUACCAGGAAAGAAAAGGCUCUGUUUUCUGCUCAGGUAAUUAUUGUGUUCCUCUGAGCCAAACUCCCAUGUUUCCUCCUUUCUCAAAGCCAUAAUCCUGGGUGUGGGCCCCACACUGAAUUACUCUGGUGCCCUGUGCCAGAGAGCAUCUCUAAGCCCUGCACUCACCCAGUCUCAGAGAGGUUGGAAGCUUGUAGGGCAAGCCUGGCAACACCAAUGGGCUGCAGUCUGGAGUUAGAACUUCUUGCACAGGGCUGAGCAUCUUCUGCAGCCAUGCCCAAUUGGUAUGGGAGGGGAUAAUGGGCUUUGAGGGGAGAUGCUUGGGAAAUGCCCAUUGCUGGCAAGGUGGGAAGAGAUCCUAUCACCUUUUGCAAAGCCAAGGCACCAUCUCAUUUCCCACCACAUGUGCAAUACGCUGAAGAUGGAGAGUUCCUCUGUCACCAGGGUUUCACAGGAUGUUCUCCAUGCCAGGCUGGAGGUGUAGUGUCUGAGCACCCAGGGCAGGCACAUGUCCCCCAGCUGUGGGAUCUGGUGCUUGCGACUCAUGUAGUGUGACAGAGGGAACGUUGCUGAGCUGCCGGCUUUGUGAAUGCUCACUUCUUUCUUGCUUGAUAUUGGGCAAACAAUCUGUGAUUAAUAACUUAUUCUGCAAAUUUCACCUCUUUGGAUGAAAUCUAAUUAUUCAAGCUGUAGGCCAGCUACGCAUUGGAAACAGCACAUGAAUCGAGAGAGUGUUUUCUAGUGGGGGUGGACAGUUUUUCCCAUUUACCCUUUGUCAUCUCAUUUUCCCCAAAGAGGCUGUUCAGAUGGCAGGGCUUGUACCAGCAACCACACCUCAUGGAGCUGUACAUGGACUUCAGUCUUCAUUCUGCAGUUCAAAACUAUCUGCAGGACCCCUUGCUUCAUCUGUGCAACUGUCUGUGCCUUGCCUGGGGGAGGCACUGUUUUACCCCUGGCAACAUAGCAGCUGUAGUCAUUGCCCUUCUUAAACUGGUCCUGGCCAGUUUCCCAGAGAUGCUCCUCACCUCAGUGUUCUUGUCGCUAGGAUGCAAAAAAGGU
ensembl:lncRNA